UUCAUUCAUAUAUUUAUAUCAAUUAAUUUGUAUAUGAUAUGUUCUUUUUCAAUGUUUAUGUGUUGGACAAGUUGGAUGGAUCGGAAGGAGAGAGAAAGGGUUCAAUGGGGGUAUGAAGGGGGACAGGGCUGAGAGCCUGAGAGAGGGAGGGGAUGGGGAUUAGAGAGAGGGAGAGAGGACAGAUGGAUGGUGGGAAGGUUGAGAUUGGAAGAUAGAUAGAUAUAGAGAAAGAAUAGAAGGGCAAAAUUGGUAAUCAGAUAUUAUAAGGCGUGCAAUGCAAUUGAGUUAAGAAGUUAGGGGCAUUCACCCCUGACUAGUCAAUUUAGGAGAACACUGAUAAAACAUAAGUAAGGGGGUGGAAGCAAUUUUCUCAAAUAAUAAUAAAGUUAAUCACCAUUAUCAUGAACCGACCAAAGACCAUAAUGUGAAAACGCGACUCUAGAUGCAACAAUUGUGUUUGGUAUGAUGAUGGACAAGCAGAUCGCAGCCCAAACAACCAUCCUUAGCAUCUACCGAAUCUUCUUCCAUGACUACUUUCAUCUAGACUUAGAUUGAUGAAGUAGAACAAGACAGAGAGAGUGCGUUGUAAAGAGUGUACUAGUAGGCAGUGAUUUUAAAGGCGCAACGAGGCGUGCGCCUCGGGCGCGAGGCGCUUCGGCGCAGUGGAAUAGCGCCCCGCAGCAGGUGCGGGGCGCUACACUUUCGCCGGGCGUGCGCCUGGAUAGCGCCCCGCUGUGCUUACCGCCUUUGACGAGGCGCGCGCGUGAAGAACAGGAAGAAACCCACUUUUAUUCUGUGGGUUAUUGGGUAUAAACCCGCUUCCCACUUAAACCCGACUUCAUUUUAGGGUUCUUUCGCUCCUUCUCCACUCCCGAAUCCCGAUUCCUUUGUGGCGAUAGGCGACGACAAGCGGUGACAGGCGACGGCGAUCGGUGAGCGGCGACUGGCGUGGCGACGGCGAUCAGUGACGACGAGCGGCGACGGCGAUCAGGUACGUUCUCCUCAGCGAUGUUUUUUCUGCUUUUUUUCUUUUUGUUUUUGCGUUUUCUUUUUUUCUUUUCUUUUCUCCUUAGCGAGUUCUGUGUUCUCGUUCUUUUUCUUUUCUUUUUUCUUUUCUUUUCGUUUUUGCGUUCUCUUUCUUUGCUCCUCAGCGAUGUUUUUUUGUUUGUUUUCUUUUCAUUUUUUGUUCUCUGCUUUUUUUUCUUUUCUUUUUUGUGUUUUCUUUUUUUCUUUUCUUUUCUCCUCAGCGAGUUCUGCGUUCUCGUUCUUUUUCUUUUCUUUUCUUUUUUUCUUUUCUUUUCGUUUUUGCGUUCUCUUUCUUUGCUCCUCAGCGAUGUUUUU